CAAUACCAUGCUGAAUAUACCGGUUCUCGUUAGAUCACCGAAGUUAAGCAUCAUUGGGCGCGGUCAGUACUUGGGUGGGUGACCACCUGGGAACACUGCGUGCCGUU
rnacentral:rRNA from 1 species